UACGGAGGGUGCAAGCGUUAAUCGGAAUUGCUGGGCGUAAAGCGCGCGUAGGCGGUCUUGUAAGUCGGAUGUGAAAGCCCCGGGCUUAACCUGGGAAUUGCAUUCGAUACUGCUCGACUAGAGUAUGGUAGAGGGAAGCGGAAUUCCGGGUGUAGCGGUGAAAUGCGUAGAUAUCCGGAGGAACACCAGUGGCGAAGGCGGCUUCCUGGACCAAUACUGACGCUGAGGUGCGAAAGCGUGGGGAGCAAACAGG
rnacentral:rRNA from 1 species